UACAGAGGGUGCAAGCGUUGUUCGGAAUCAUUGGGCGUAAAGGGCGUGUAGGCGGUUUGUUAAGUCAUGUGUGAAAUCCCUCGGCUCAACCGGGGAACGACGCAUGAAACUGGCAAGCUAGAGUACCAAAGAGGGUGGUGGAAUUCCCGGUGUAGCGGUGAAAUGCGCAGAUAUCAGGAGGAACACCAAUAGCGAAGGCAGCUCGCUGGGACGUUACUGACACUGAGGCGCGAAAGCGUGGGGAGCGAACAGG
rnacentral:rRNA from 1 species